GACUUGCGGCCUCUAUUUUACCCCUUAGUUUCAGUAGGAAUGGUGACUCAAGAAGCAAAGAAUUUGACCCCAGAAAAUAGCAAGGCGAUGAGAGAACUGGCUGUGACCAUAGGAUUAAUGUCCCGUGGGUCCAGGGCAAGAGAUUUUUUUAGUACUCCCGCUGUGACUGGGACUCAGCCUUGGUGAUGUUGCCUUGGAAAACAGUUCUCCCGGACGCAUUCGUUGUAAGGAGCGCGACCAUGAGCAAACAGAAGGAAGCACAGAGAUUGCAGAGCCUGUCAGUGCCUCUACAAGAUGGCCAGAGUCUUGUUACUUGGCUACCUCUGGGCAUUUAUCAGUCUUCUCCAAUCACAUUCAUGAAAUGCAUCUCAGGAUGGGGGUGAGCAUUCAAGAUAGUUGUAUGCUUGGAACCCUUCACCAGAGGAAGAGCUUAUCCACUGUAGAAGACCUCUGAUGACACUUUAUUUGAAGACAGCAGUUUAAAAAAGGAGAAUUGUGAGGGCUGAGAAACAUCAGGUAUGUAAUUUUAGCCUUUGGAAGGAUGGGAGCACGGAGGAUCGUUGAGUUCCAGGCCAGCCUGGACUGUAUAGCAAGACCACAUCUCCAAAACAAAACUAUAAAGUGGCAUAUGAUUAGGACUGCUGUGAAAAACUCCAGGCUUUGCCAACUCGCAGUGAAGGAGACAUCUGAGGUCCUCCAGAGAGCAUCCCUGGAGCUGCUCUAUUGUAUUGAUGAAGCACCUCCAUCAACCCCCAUUACUGGUUUUAACCUUAGUCUACGAACACUUGCUCCCUGGUUACCUUAAAUUCCUCUUACCACCCACCUGCGCCUCCUGUUUCUAAUUAAAAGUUGGAAGUUGCACGAAAAUUCGACAGGAACGGUUUCUAUGAAAUGUUUUCCCCAGAGGAGCAGAUUGCGCUGCUCAUGGAGUCAGCUCCCAAACUAAUUUAACUCUCAGCCCUAGCCUUCGUACAGAAAUGUGGAAAGCAGAAAAACCGGAGCCGUGACGAACCGUGCCAGUUGGACCGCCUCGUGUUUCUGACUCAUUUCAGAAUUAUUAUCGUGUCAAUAGAAACAGCCCCUCUGCACCCUUCCCAGGUUUUUGCAAGGAGAUGCAGUAAGAAACUCAAGGUCUGGAGGGAAGCUGUGCAUUAAAACUGUGAUCAGGCUAAAAGACAAGGUAACCUUGCCCAUUCAGAGGCACCGUGGUCACGUGAGUGAGUGGAAGCACUAGCAAUGGGGAAAAUCCAUGUAUCUCAAGUGAGAUAGUCGCGCUAAAAAAAUCACCCUUGCUUAUCAAACAUUUAAUAUGUGUGAUAUAAUUGUUACCUUAGUCAAGGUAAGUUACUGCUAUUUUAAAAAAACCAAAAAUCCAAAAUUUAAAGGACUUA